rnacentral:lncRNA from 1 species
UUAGGACCACAUCUGCUUUGGAAGACUGUAAACUCUAUUUAAAAGACUAUACUCAAAAUUGUAGUUUUAUUGUAGUCAAACUGUUCUUGAAGUCUAAUGAGCUGAUUCAGUUCUGCAAGGUACAGCUCAAUAAUGCCUAAUAAAAGCAUUGCUGUUGACCUUCCAGAGCCUGUACAGGAAUGGAAGCCCUUUUAGUGACAUCCAGCCUGGAGACAAAUCAAACUUCACAGCAUCAGGAAGGCUUCUGAGCAUGUCUCGAUGAAGGCAACGAUAGAAAGCAGUAAACCAGCAAAGAAUCUGCAAGACCUGAAGGUCUCUCAUUCUGAAGGUGAUAGAUAGCCAGGAGGAUAACUGUCUGCUCUGAUCCUGCACCACACAACUAUGCUUGUUCAGUAUGCUGAACCUGCUUAAGUAAGGAAACUUACUUUAUUGUUUGAGAUUUUUAUGAUAUUUUAUUUUCCUGGGUGUAACAGGCAGAUGAGCAUCAUGAGAAACUGGAAAUGACACAUUAGAAAUAUUUCAUAAUGGGAGGGAGGAGCCACUUCUGUAGGUGGUAUAACCUUUAUAUCUCACAUUAUAGCUCAUGAAAUUCAAGUUGAGAUCUCGAACGACCAUUCUCUCACUGUAGCGAGCUACUUGCAGUACAUCCACUUUUGUGAGCACUUACAUUUUCUUUUUGACUGCAGGAGAGCUGAGAUGUUGGUGGCACCUGGCUUUACAAGUGGGAAGAUUCUGUCAGCUGUUCCAUUAAAUACUCCCUGGGCCCUGUGGUGCUGGAGUUGAUGUUCUACCAAGCAGAGGACCGCUGACAGUGCCAGACAGAGAGGGUGGUUGUCCUUGGCAGCUGAGCUGUAAGUAGCUUUUUGUCAAAUCCUCUUGAGAAGGUUCUAUCCUAAAGUUUUUUUUUUUUUUUAAAUUGUUGUUGUUU